AUUGAACGCUGGCGGCAUGCCUUACACAUGCAAGUCGAACGGCAGCACGGGGCAACCUGGUGGCGAGUGGCGAACGGGUGAGUAAUGCAUCGGAACGUACCUUUCAGUGGGGGAUAACCAGUCGAAAGACUGGCUAAUACCGCAUACGACCCGAGGGUGAAAGCGGGGGACCGCAAGACCUUGCGCUGAUUGAGCGGCCGAUAUCAGAUUAGCUAGUUGGUGGGGUAAAGGCUCACCAAGGCGACGAUCUGUAGCGGGUCUGAGAGGAUGAUCCGCCACACUGGAACUGAGACACGGUCCAGACUCCUACGGGAGGCAGCAGUGGGGAAUUUUGGACAUUGGGGGCAACCCUGAUCCAGCCAUGCCGCGUGAGUGAAGAAGGCCUUCGGGUUGUAAAGCUCUUUCGGCCGGGAAGAAAUCGUAUCAGCUAAUACCUGGUGCGGAUGACGGUACCGGCAUAAGAAGCACCGGCUAACUACGUGCCAGCCGCCGCCGUAAUAC
rnacentral:rRNA from 1 species